rfam:Gossypium raimondii Chr13_contig_344, whole genome shotgun sequence.
AUCCCAUGAUGAGGACACUUAUGAAGUAAUUCCUUAAAUAUUCCCCACGCCUCAUACAAGGACUCAUCAUCCAAUUGUGAAAAAGUGGUUAUCUCAUUUCGUAACUU